rnacentral:rRNA from 1 species
GAUGAACGCUGGCGGCGUGCCUAAUACAUGCAAGUCGAGCGAACGGACGAGAAGCUUGCUUCUCUGAUGUUAGCGGCGGACGGGUGAGUAACACGUGGAUAACCUACCUAUAAGACUGGGAUAACUUCGGGAAACCGUAGCUAAUACCGGAUAAUAUUUUGAACCGCAUGGUUCAAAAGUGAAAGACGGUCUUGCUGUCACUUAUAGAUGGAUCCGCGCUGCAUUAGCUAGUUGGUAAGGUAACGGCUUACCAAGGCAACGAUGCAUAGCCGACCUGAGAGGGUGAUCGGCCACACUGGAACUGAGACACGGUCCAGACUCCUACGGGAGGCAGCAGUAGGGAAUCUUCCGCAAUGGGCGAAAGCCUGACGGAGCAACGCCGCGUGAGUGAUGAAGGUCUUCGGAUCGUAAAACUCUGUUAUUAGGGAAGAACAUAUGUGUAAGUAACUGUGCACAUCUUGACGGUACCUAAUCAGAAAGCCACGGCGAACUACG